rnacentral:lncRNA from 1 species
AACCAAACACAAUAAUUUAAAACAUAAACAAUAACCAUCACUUCAAAAUGUUAAAAUGUGCGUGGGGGACAAAACACCCCAAAAAGUACAUAACCAACUACCAAAUAUCUGAAAAUAAAAGAAAAUAAAACAUAACAUAAAAAAAACAAACUUUGUCCUCAUAGGACUCAGAACCCUCUUCACUUCCGGCCUCAGAACCGG